rnacentral:rRNA from 1 species
UACCAGCACCCCGAGUGGUCGGGACGUUUAUUGGGCCUAAAGCAUCCGUAGCCGGUUCUACAAGUCUUCCGUUAAAUCCAGCUGCUUAACAGGUGGGCUGCGGAAGAUACUAUAGAGCUAGGAGGCGGGAGAGGCAAGCGGUACUCGAUGGGUAGGGGUAAAAUCCGUUGAUCCAUUGAAGACCACCAGUGGCGAAGGCGGCUUGCCAGAACGCGCUCGACGGUGAGGGAUGAAAGCUGGGGGAGCAAACCGG